GACGUAGGGUCCAAGCGUUGUCCGGAUUUACUGGGCGUAAAGGGCGCGUAGGCGGCCUUCUAAGUCGAACGUGAAAUCCCCGGGCUCAACCCGGGAACUGCGUCCGAUACUGGAAGGCUUGAAUCCGGGAGAGGGAUGCGGAAUUCCAGGUGUAGCGGUGAAAUGCGUAGAUAUCUGGAGGAACACCGGUGGCGAAGGCGGCAUCCUGGACCGGCAUUGACGCUGAGGCGCGAAAGCCAGGGGAGCAAACGGG
rnacentral:rRNA from 1 species